rnacentral:lncRNA from 1 species
AGGUGACUAUCCCCCCACCCUGCCCCUGCGUCGCGGCGCGUCGCGCUGCUGCUCCCGCCCCAGCCGGGGCCGAAGAUGGGGCGGCGGCUGCGGUUUUCCACACGACUUCCUUGGAUCUCGGGGCACACGCGCCGAUAGUUCGGACGCGAGUCCGGGCUGGUUUUGCUCCGUUUUACUGCGUUUGAUUACUAAUUUAAAAGCUUUGCGUUCCCCGUCGCCCCGGCCCGCUUUUCUCCUGCAUUCUCCCCUCGGCCCCCGUCCCCGCCCUGCGAUCGCUGGAGGGGGCGUCGGGGCUCGCGCGCCAGAACCCGGCUCCUCCGAAGCCCCCUCCGGGCCCCACCGCCCCCCUCGCGCCUCCCGGCCCCCGCCUCCUCCCCUUCGCCCCCACCCAACGGCUGCUGCUUCGGGCUUCGCGGCUCAAAAACAACAGCGGAGGCGCCGCCAGCUCCGCGCUCCGCCACUGCCCAGGCCGGCGGGCGGCACUCGGACCCGCCGCCCUCGGUCCCUCGCGAGGCCACGGAGGCCAACACGCCUCGCACGGGGGGACAGCGCGGGGGCAGCCGUCCAAACACCAGGCGUCCUCGGCUGGUCGUCCCAGGGCGCCCGCACCUCUCCGCCCGCGCUCUCCUGCCGCCGCGCCCCCAAGCCCCCAAACUCCGAGGCGCUGCGGCGGAGGGGCCGGGCUGAGCGCAGGCAGGGUGGCCCGGGCCCAGGAGCCUGACGGCCUGAGUGCGGAUUUCUCAUCUGAGUAUCUGGGAAUCGAGAAUGAAUUGGAAGGAAACCGAGGCGCUGCCCUGGCCAGGUUGCUGCCCCGCACCCUUCCGGAGCACCGAAGUCCUGCCCGGCAACGGGACUUGGAGCUGCCGCAGAGUCAGCCUGAGCCCGAGGCAGGGGUCGCGCCCGCGAUGCGGGGUCUCUGCGCCGCCCCGCGAGGCUCCUGGCCUUGCCCUCCCUGCCCUUUGUUGUGUAAUAAGACCUGUGGCGGCUCCACUGAGACCCACACGUGCAACUCCGCGCCUCCGCGUUAAAGGAGGUGAAACGCAGCAGCCCUGAGAAACCCCGAGACCCCGGUGUCCUAGCAGAGGCGCCCCGGAUGGGGAGGGGCGCGGGGCCGGCGCCACCCCAGAGGAAAAGCCCAGCGGAGCCGGGUUGGGCAGGAGCUGGCGGCGGCGGUGCGCUGGGCCUUCUGCCUUGGAUCCUCCGCGGUCGGCACCGCUUCCCUGCUCAGAUUCGAACCCAGAUUCGGCUCCCAAGGCUCCCACGGCUCCAGGGUGCCCAGUCUUGCAGCCAGCUCGCCGCCCGAGCCCCGGAUGGAGGAAGCGCUCACUGGCCGCUACCUCUGCUGUUUCUGGCACCAGGGGUUGGGGCAGAGAACAGCUCAGUUUACAGGCCCGGCUCUGGAGGUCUUGAUCUGCCUAGCCAACUAGGGCACCGCUGCAGCUUUGCACCGCCAAGGCCGGUUCUGAACCUGCUCGCCCCAGUGGGUGGGAGGUGCUGGAGCCCAGGAACACGGGCGCUGUCUUGCCUAAACCCCGCCAAGGGCAGGUUCCCAACGGUGGGCCCAACCUGGCUGGAGCUGCUGGCUAGAAAGGACUCAAGGUCACUCCCAUAUCUCUGCACCCAGGUCCCCCUUGCUCCUGCCUGAAGCCUCUGCAGGUUUGGGAGGAGGCCUGGGGAAGUUACUAUGGUGCCUGCGAACCACUCCCACCUGCAGAGAGGGUCCCUUCCCCACCCUCACCCUGCAGCCCAGCAGAGGCCUCCUUUGCCCCUGGCCUGGAGGUAGCCAACAGAUGCCAAGGUUGUGCAGUCCUGGCCUUCUUCUACGGGUGCCCCAACUCUCUCAGGCCCUCUCCCUGCCUCCUCCUCCAGCUCAGGAGGUGGUUCUCAGAACCCUGGCCAGGCUAGGACAGGACAGCCAUCCCUGGCCUGUUGCCAGCCCCUAGGGAAGAAGGGCAGGAGGUAUGGGAGCAAGCUGGUCUGUGCCAUCUGGUCCUUGCCCUCCACCAGGCUGUUGGGUAGGGAUGGGGUCAUGGAUCUGCCUGGGAAGGGGUAGCUGCCGGUCAAGCCUCGCCAGGGAGACAGCCGGGCUGCCUACCUGCAAGGCACUGACGCAGCCCUGGCUCCAGUGGGGCAGUGUCUCCCGAGCCUGCUCGAGGAGCCCAGGCAGGCUGUCCCCAAGGCCAUGGCCCUGGCCGAGGUUGCAUCCUGGCCUGGCCAGGCCCUGCCCCCGCGUGGCCAGACUUAGAAGCGGAGAGCAGGUCAGGCAUUGAGGAGUCCCGUGGGGAAAAAGGGUGAAGCAGGGAAGAUCAGAUGCAAGUCCUCCCUGGGGCCCAGUUCUGUGUCCCUGCCUGGCAAGGGCUUUGGGGGGCUUGGAGAACAGGUAGGGCAAAUGUAGGCCCAGUGGGGAAAAGGUUGAUACUAAAAGGUCUAAGGGCAAUUUUCAAACCAAGUCUAGCUCUGCAGAGCCUUGAGGCUGAUGCCAGGCCCUGGGGCCCCUGCGCUGGGAUUGUAAGUGCUGUAAGCUCAUUCCUACUGACCUCCUUGGGUCGUCCAAGGACAGUGAGUGUGGGUUGGCCACAUAGAGGCUCCUACACUGGACAACUGCACGCUGCUGUCGAGUUCCAAAACCAAUUUCAUAGCUGGGGUCUUGGAGGCUAGAGCGGGGCUUUAACCACCAACUUCUGCUGGGGUCUGGGCAGAGAGGGAGUCCAUGGAAACUCGAUUUCUCCAUGAGCCCUGCAGACUCCCAGUGUUUCUAACGGCUGGAGACCCAUGACCAGGUUAAUUCCUUAGGGAAAAGGCCGGGUUUGAGAGCCAGAAAUGCUGGUCCUGCCGUGCUGGAGGAAGCAUCUUAUUAGCGAGUAGGAGGCCCCCAAGCCCCAGGGGUUCCCCAGAAGCCCAUUGAGUAGCAGAACUACCAUGCCGGCCUGCCCUCCACUCCCGGAAUCUACAAAUGCAUUCAAGGGCUAGAGGGCCCCUUCGCUUGGCCAGGCCUUGUGCCCCAUGCCAACUGGCAGGGUCAGAGCAGCCCCAGCUGCCCCUACCCCCAGCCCCUCAGGCCCCAGGGAGCCCUGCUUCGGGCCGUGUGUGCAGGACAGGAGGUAGGCAUGGCACCUGGCAAGAUGGACUCACCUCACCAGGUUCUUUCUCUCCCACUUUCUCUCCCCUCACCUCACCCCUUUCUCUCCCACUCCUCUGUGCUUUUUGAACUUAGCCAUGGGUUUUCAGAUACUUGGCCUCAGGCUCUAUUGAAUUCCAGGUCAAGGUUUUACUGACUCCACACCCCCACCUUGUUCCUCCGGGUAGCAAAGAAGCACACAGCCUCUGGUUUACCAACGGGCUUUCCUGGGAGAUUGGAAAUGCCCCAGGUGGGAUCCAGAUCGCCAGCGCUCACCCCACCCCCAAUACGUGGGCCACUGAGUCAGGCCAGGAUGAGGCUCUUGCUCCCCGGGCAUGUUCUCCUGCCCCAGACUUGAGCAGCAGGAGCCAGGAGACCACAGGGGCCCUUGGGGAUGGCUGACUUGGCUCCCACUAGACAGAGGGGAACAUGGAGGAGGGCUGCUUGGACCCUAUACCUCGCAGGGGACUCGAUGGGGGCUGAAUGCUGGAAGGAGCCUGCGUUUGGUCUAGAAUGGUGGGGGUGGGUGGGAGACACAAGUCAUGGAAAAGGCCAUUUCUUCCCUAUUGAGACCUCUGAAAUGACCCGAAGUGGGUGCUUCCUCCAGCAUCAUGCCUCAGCCGCACACUGGGGCUACAGGAAUCCCCCCAGACCCUGGGGUCAAUAUUUCGGGGCCCCUUUGAACCUUCUUCUCACCCGAGGCCUGGGAAACCUUCUUGUGCCCCAGAAUACUUGGAGAGGACAGGACACAGGUCCCAGUUGUGGCCCAGUGGUGGCAAGGUUCCAUUCCCUGCACUGCUCAAAGGUGGGGGCCUCCCAAAGCCGAUACCCGAUUCCUGGUCCCAGAGUGGGUAGCUGGGAGGAGUGGACUUCCUAGGAAUGUGAGCCAUGUCGCUGAUUUCGAACAAACCCCAGAUGUGUGGAAACUGACUUAUUUUGAUUGCAAGAGGGUCCUUGUCCCUUGCAGAUGGGCAGCUUCCGGGGACCGGCUUGCACGAUGCCGUGGCCACCCCAGUGGAGACCCUCUGCCCGGCUUUGUGUCCUGGCGUCCCCACCAGGGUGCCCAGCUCUCCUGCGCAGAUGUCGGGAGUAUCUGGAUGCCCCAUGGGCACUUCGAGGGCCCAAUCCGGAGUUUUUUGUUUUGUUUUGUUUUAAGAGAUUGAGACUGUGAACCUGAACUCCCUUGAUCUCCUCCCGUUGGGCCCAGGAGGGAGCCGAAUCCAGGCCCAACCGGGCUCACUGAGAAGGUGCAGGAAGCCCCCAACGACUCCUACUCGUGUGCGGCCCAUACUGGGCCAGGACGCUGCAGUGGCCGAGCCGCUGGGUGUCUGCAACGGGGAGCUCCCCCGCCGCUGGGGGCAAUAAACGGAAUCGGUUUCACACGCUUUCCCUCUUGAUCUAAGAACCUUUAAAAAUCCGCCAACGAAUGCUGUUGCCUGGAUGCGCUGCCUAUGACCUUCAGCCGUGUGUUCACGCGCGCCCGCAGCCGUGGAGUGGCGGUCCCUCCUGCCGCCCGCAACCCCGGGGCCGCCGGUCUGCGCACACCGGGAGCAACUUCGUUACCCACAGCGCCCGCGUCCUGCGGCUCGCGCGGAACUGCGCGCGGGAAGGUGGCAGAGCGACGCUCCAGAACGCUGCUUGCGUAGACGCUGCCGCUGCCUUCAGAUCCCAAUUCGGCCGCGCGCGGGCGGGGCCCUGGCAGCAACGAAAAUGGCGAGCCUCGUAGCCUUCCGGGCCCGGCGGCCACAUUCCGGGAGUCGCCAGGUGGGAGCCCGCCUUCCGUGUCCCCAAACGCCCAGAGCCCGGGACACGGGCCGGCGGCCGGGUCACCAAGCCAGUUCCCGGAAUCGGCUCGCGCCGGAAUCCAGACUCGGCUUGCAAAGCCCGCUCCUGCCGUCUCUCCGCAGCGCGCCCUGCCCCCCACUGCCGGCCCUCUUAGCUUCAAAACCAAAUUUUGCCUUUCAUCCUGAGAGAUUAAUACCCCGCAGGUGAAACCGUGGAGACGGAGCUGCGGUGGGUUUCUUUUCCACGCCUCAGUUUCCUCGUCUGUGAAAUGGGACCAGGCGCGCCUGUGCUUCUCCGGGAGUUUAUUGCAGGGCUGGCUGGAGAGAAUGGCUGGGUGGAAGCUGCCAGGAGGAGGCCCAAGGCCGCCCACCCCGUGGGCCUCGUUUGCUGAGCGGGGGUCAGAGGCGUGCGGGACAGGGCGCGCCCCACGGCGGCUCUGGAGGCGGCCCGGCCCGUCCCUGUCUCCUCCCCUCGCUCCCCCUCCCCCGGCCUUCCCGGAACUCUCCUCGCCCGCUGGGUGGAGGAGGGGCGAGGGCCGACUCCGCCGCCCCUGGGGUCUCCCUCCUCCCACCCCCACCGCAGAGUCUGGCCCGCCCUGGGCUUUCCUCUCAGGUCCCUUUGGGUCUCCAGAAGCCCGGAGGUUUCGCGCAGACUCGAACCUGAGAUGACACCACCCAGCACCCCAAAUCCUGCAGAGUGUGGAGGGGAUCUGGGGAGAAGGCAGGGGCUGCCCGGGCGCUCUGGCUGCUGGGGGUGGGGGACAGGGCCUGCCGGGGAAGCGGGUCGGGGGAGGACUGGAGACCCAGGCUCCCCUAGGUACAACGAACCUCGCGGGAGGGAAUACGCCAUCCCCGUACCCACUUCCGAGGACGUAGGUCUUUUGGCACCGGCGGCAGCCGCGUUCCCACACAUCUGGGCGGGGCCCCGCAGCAUGGCCUGGGGAGCUGAGGCUUCGGGAUCCGGCACAAACUACCAUUCUAGGUGUAGACGGAGGAGGUGGGGUGUGGGAAGCAGGGGGCCAUGGUCUGAGCAGACCUUCUCACCUCUGGGCCUCCCACCUCCUGGGGCAGGACUUACGGGGAAGGACCCGAGGGGAGUGGGGUGUCCAUAGGGACACCCAAGGGUCUAUCCCUGCGAGCUUUGCUUUCUACUAAACCAAUAAUCGCAGUGGUGGUGGCAGUCGAGACACGGCUCAAAGAGCCGGCAAGAAUAGAGCAGAGACCAGGAUCGCCCCAGGCAGGGAAAAAAUGACCAGUUCUGUAGAGUGACCCGAAGGUGAUGGAAUCACUCGGGCGUCCUCCUGGGAAAGAGCUGCCUGCUCCCCCGCCGCCGCCAGUACACCGGCGCCCAUGCCCCGGGGGCUGGAGAGAGCAGCCAGGCACAGGUAACUCAAGAACUCCAGUCCCCUCACGGGUGCCGUGCUGUGGGGCGCCCUCACCCCCACACUUUGGGUCCCUGGGCCUCCUCAUCAAAGCAGGGGCCUGAGUGGCAGGAACACCCCUGUGUGCAGAAUAGUGCCCCCUGCAGCCCCCACAGGUCACCUCUUUGAGGACCUAGGUGGGGCCUGCCCUGGGGACUGGGGUGAAGAGGGCAGGUCCAGCCUUCAGCAGCCCCUCCCCCAUGACUUCAGUGGAAUUACAAGGGGAACACCCAGGGCAGCUCCCGUAGGCUGCACAAGGGAAGAGGGGAGGGCUUCUACUGAGGUGAAACAGUGACCCACCCCUCCCACACCGUCAGCCUCCCUCCCCUCUCCACCCUUCAGUGCUGGGACCCCAGGGCCCAUAGACAGCUGGGGGAGUGGGGAGACAGGAGGAACUCAAGCUCAGCUUCUGCCUCCUGUCUCCUGGGACCCUCGGGCAGCCCCUCCAGCUUCCUGGGAGUCCAAUUUCCCAAGGUAGAACGGUGGCGGCAGAGCCUGGCCCUGUGGUGGGGCAGCUGCACCCCGAUGAGUGGCUUGCAGUUCCUGGAGCCCUGCAGGUUGUUGGAGAGGCAGGGAGCCCUUCUCCCUCCUGCCUGCCCUCUUGCACUUCCUCUCCCAGAACCCAGCACUACUCCCAGAGGCUCUGAGCUGGAGCCCUAGAAGGAGGCGCUGCAAGGCUCCGUGCUCCUGGAGCUUCGAGUCUAUGGUAUGAGUUAAACAGAAGGGUAUCUCCUCCAUCAGAUCUACAGGAGGGUGUCUGCUCCAUCAGACCUGGAGCUUCCAAGGCAUUUUACCCGAAGCUCCAGCACCUGGCCCAAGGCUGGGCUGUGCUGUGUCCUCAGUGAAAGAAUGGAUGAGUCACAGCUGAAUGACUGAAGAGCUGAACCAAUGGGAAAACUGAUGCUCAGAGGCUUGAGCAACCUAGGCCAGGACCUGUCCUUAGAGGCAGAAGCAGGACUCAGAGGAAGAGCACCCUGACCACAAAGCCCCAGGGUCCAGAAAGACUCAGCCACUGGAGUCUGUAUUUCCUGAGUCGCCUCUCACUGGUAAGUCCUGAGCCCCGUUCCUUCCCAGCACCCACUCUUGGAGCAGCUCUCCAGGGCUGUGCUGUGGCUGCUGCGGUCAGGGAGAGGUCGCAUGCUCCAGCCAGGGUCUUUGGGGACUCAGUUUAGAACUAAUACGCCAAGCAAGUCGUGCUGAGUGUCUGGGCUUCUUCUAGGAAGGUAUUUCCAAUCAUCAAAUGUGCCAUUAAAAAAAAUGCAUGUCAGUUAAGUGUGCACUAAGCCUGGACCACAUGGGACAUAGUGGUUCCAAUAAACACGAAUAAGCCAGUUUUCACAUUAGAGAAAUACCAGUUUCUUGCAGAAAUGCGGUGCUUUUAAAAGAGGUUAAUUAAUAAACAGCAGGUAAUUGUUCGUGGCACGUUGUGGCAGAGGGUAAUUUUCAUUUUAGAGGAUGGAAGGGCCAAAUACCCCUCCCCACUCAGCAUUUUUCUGUAAUAAUCACCUCAGCUUCACCUCCGCCUUUCAUUUUUACAGCUGGAGCUGUUUAUCAUCGCUCCAACUUUCACUAAAAAGGAAAAACUAUCACUUAAACAAAGCCAUUGAAACCCCAGCAUCAUGUGUGGAUUUUUUAACAUAAAUAAAUCAUACAAACUAAGAUUUAUGUUCUUGGAAUGAUGUCAUUCAUUGAAGGCUGCCUUCCCAAUCAAAGCCGUGUUUAGUGAUUUUUCUUUAGUGGGUGUGCUUUUUGCUAAAUAGGAAAAACCCGUUCGGUCAUCCUUGCUGCUGUCUUUUCUCGGUUUGGCCCAGAACAUCAGAAAGGUUUCUCCCUGGGCCAGUCCACAGAGCCAAAUGGUGAAAAUGGUUUUAACUCCACAGACUGCUUUUAAAGCCUUUGCUUUGGAACCGUUAAGUCUGAGAUCAAAAGACUGUUAAACCUUCCCUAAGAAUGUGUGCAGGCCUCAGCAGAAGUUUAUGGUCCUCCCAGGUCUCCCAGAGCCUAGAAUGAAUCUCGCUGCAGAGUAACGCAUCUGCAGAAGCUUCACCAAAUUGAAAUGAGUGAGGAGCAUUAAAAUCAGCACACGUGGAUAAAUAACAGGUGGCAUAUCCAUGCAAUGGAAUACUAUGUCGCCAUGAAAAGGAAUGAAGAGCUGACGCUUGUUACAGCAUGAAUGAACCUGGAAAACAUGACGCUCCGUGAAAGAAGUCAGUCAUAAAAGGUCACGCUUUGUGUGAUUCCAUUUAUACGAGAUGUCCAGGAUGGGCCAAUCCAUAGAGACUGAAGACAUAUUAGUGGUUGCCUGGCUGUAGAAGUAGAGGCAGUAGUACUCUGGGCCAAUGAAGGCCCUGGGAACAGAUGGGCCACACCAGAGUCCAGCUUCAGCCCUCCAGGCAUUGAAAGGAGACCAUUAGCUGGAAGCCAGUGGGAAGUCGGGCUGACUAAUAGGGACAGGUGUCCAGGAGGCUGCAGUGUGAGGCUUUCAUUUGUUCAAGCAACACACAUUCACUGCACUCUUACCGUGUGCCAGGGACAGCCAUAGGCCCUGAGACUACAGCAGUGAUGGAGACAGACGCUGCUCCCAUCAAGGUCAUGUUUUGAUGGGGAAAGCAGCAAUAAGCCAAAUACAUAUGGGUCUGGGGUGCCAGGCUAGACGAUUCUAGUGCAAUGGACAUGAAAGAGGAGAGAGGUGAAGGCACAGUCUUCAAUCGGUUGUUCAAGAAAGGCCUCACUGAAGUGGUGACAUUUGGGCAGAGACGUCAGGGAGGGAUGAGGGAGCCACCCAAGUGUCUGGGAGAACAGCACUGGGGCAGAUGGAACAGCCAGUGCAAAGGCCCUGAGGCUCCAGUGACCAGUGUGGCUGCUGCAGAAGGACGGGGAGGGGAGGAGGGGAAAACCGUGUAGAGUGGCAGUGGGAGGACAGAUUAAGGCUGCAGGUGGAAUUAAAGUUGCUCUUUCAGCUGACUUUAAAGUAGGGAGACGAUUCCAGAUUAUCUGGGUGGCCUUAAUGUCAUCACGAGGAUCCUUAAAAGUGGAAGAGGGAGGCAGGAGAGUCAGGAUUAGGAUGAAGUGGAGAUAUGUGAGAAUAUGAGGAAGAUUCCCCUGGCUGUGCUGGCUCUGAAGACAGAGGAAGGGCCCACGAACCAAGUUACGUGAAUACGGACAGACUCUAGAAGCUAAAAAAGGCAAGGAAAUGGAUUCUAGAGCCUCCAGCAAGGAAGGCAGCCCUAUGCAUGCCUUGACUUUAGGACACUGAGAUCCAUUUCGGACUUCUGACCCACAAAACCAAAAUCUAGUAAGUGUGUGCUAUUUGAAGCUGCUAAAUUUGUAGUAAUUUGUUACAGCAGCCACCAGAAAUUAAUAUGGGGAGGAAAUAGGGAUUUCAUCUGUCCAUAGUAAAGACAUGCCGGGGGUGAUAAGAAUCUGAGCCCAUCUCACCUAGAUGAGAACGAGAGAGUAAUGACCACAGAAUAGUGGUGAUGGCCAUCCUCACAUCUGGCUCCUUAGCCACCCAUGCCAGUAUGGACUGACUGCCUUCUACGUCUUGUCCAUGGCCAUUCUCUAGGGAAAUUCCCUUGCAUCUCCUGCUACCUUUACAGACUACAUAUUUUGUUGGAUUACUUUCUCAUUUUCAUGAAGCAUAUCUUCUAGUAACUUCUGAUAAAAGAUGCAUAGGAGAUAAAUAUUUUAGGACUUCCACAGUACCAGAAUGAUGGAUGAACUGGGUAUAGAAUUCCAGAUUGGAGAUGAUUUUUUUGUUCAGAAUUUUAGAGAAUAUUGCCCCAUUGUCUUCUUGCUACCAGGCAGCUAUUGAGAAGUCUAGGAAGAUUCUGUUUCCUCGGACUUUGUGUGCAGUGUGAUUUUUCCUUUUUGGAAUUUUAUAGAAUCUUCUUUGUCCCAAGUGGUCCCAUAUUCCACAAUGAUGUGCCCUAGAAUGUGUCUGUUUUUAUCCACUGUGAGUUCUUUCCAACUGAGAACUUGUGUCCAUUAGCUCUGGGAAAUUUUCUUGAAAUACUUUCUUAGUGAUUUCUACUCUCUGUUUUGUUUCUUCUUCAUUUUUGAAACUUGAUAUUUAUAUGAGCUUUCUUCUGCACAUAUAAUCUGUGUGUCCACCAAAUGGCUUUGCUCUGUUUGUUUCAAUCUGUCUUUCCUGAGGCAUCUGCUGAUUCUUGGCUUUCUGCCCAUGAUGAGGAGCUGACUGGAAGUUCUGACAGUAAGAGAGGAGGGGUUCAUUGCCCUUGAGACCCAUGAAUGGGAGUGAUCCUUGAUCCUUGGAUGUCAGUAUCUUUAGGAACUGACCUGAUUCCCAGAGAAGUUACCCAGGGAGCAAGGGAGGGUCUGGCUGCCAGUCUUCUUGGAGUCAACUUGGAGUUGAAGGCAGGGGUCUUUGCAGUCAGCUGCCUGAAUUCUGGGAAAUAAACCUCUGGACUUUUGCUGGUGUGGGGGAGGGGUGGUCGCUCAGGGAGGAUAAGGAGGGGAUAGGAAUCCCCCUUUACUAAGCCAUCCUGAUCGUAGCCGCUCUUGCACCCCAAGUCCUAGAGGUACCCUUUUUUUUUGACGGAGUUUCACUCUUAUUGCCCAGGCUGGAGUGCAAUGGUGCGAUCUUGACUCACUGCAGCCUCUGCCUCCUGGGUUCAAAAAUUCUUCUGCCUCAGCCUCUAGAGUAGAUGCGAUUACGGGUGCCCACCACCAGGCCUGGCUAAUUUUUUUUGUAUUUUUAGUAGAGACAGGGUUUCACCAUGUUGGUCAGGCUGGUCUUGAACUCCUGACCUCAGGUGAUCCGCCCACCUUGGCCUCCCAAAAUGCUGGGAUUAUAGGCGUGAGCCACCACGCCUGGCCCCUAGAGGUAAUCUUAUACUCAGUCUUGAGUGUUAGGAUUCCCCUUGGUUAUAAAUCUGGUAAAAUCUCACCUUCCUGCUCUCUAUUCAGGAUUUUCUCUUGUCUCUGAUCCAAUUGCCACAGGUCCAUCAGCAAUUCAGCUUUCAGAAGGGAGGCCCACCCUUAUGGGUAGAUGCCUUUUGAAAUCUCUUUAUUGUGGUUGAAGUGGGGCUUACAGAGGGGACGCUAUUGAAUGGGUGUGUGUUUAGUUUGCCAUCUUAACCCGAGGCUUUUGUGGCUAUUUUAGAAAGACUGUGUCCAUUCUUAGGUCUAGGCCCGAUACCACACACAGUGUCCACACACAGGGGCUCUGACCCCACAGGGUUCUUUGGGUCCUGAUCAAUGAUCUUUCAAGAGCCUCCCCCUUGACCUGCUUCUGGCCACAGAAACAGCUGAUAAAUGAAAUUUGUUAGUUUCCUACAAUGGAGUGUUGCAUCAGCAGUGAACAUAGUGACAAGAGUGCAUGCUUAUCACCACGCUGACAUGUCCCUGAGACAUGGGGGCGACCUUUAAGAAUGUCAGCUGAAAUAUUAACAGCGGUUUUCCCUGGGUGAUUAGAUCUGAUAAUAUUAAAACUUUUUUCUCUGUUAUGUUUCUCUGCAUUUAAUUUUUCUCCACUGACUGUAUAUUAGUGGUGGAAGUGUUACAAUGUUUAAAAAUAAGAACAUCAAAAAAUUAGCCCAGGGUGGUGGUGGCAUGUUCCUGUGGUCCCAGCUACUCAGGAGGCUGAGGCAGGAGGAUCUCCUGAGCGCAGGAGGUAGAGGUUGCAGUGAGCCAAGAUCUCACCACUGCACCCCAGCCUGGGUGACAGAGUGAGAUCCUGUCUCAAAAAAUAAAAAUAAAAAUGAGAAGAAAAUCCUAUCUGUCCUUCAAUAACCAGCUCAGCCACUGCUACCUCCCGGGAGUCUCCCGUAUUCCCACUGUUGGGAAUGCUUCCUGCACCACAUUAAAUAAACUGC